CCCCUAUUUCCUCUAGUGGCUGUCUCAUUGACAGCCACUAGAGGCGCUUGCGUGCACGCCAGCGUCCAUAGGAAAGCAUUAUGAAUGCUUUCCUAUGUGACCGGCUGAAUGCGCGCGCAGCUUUUGCCGUGCGUGCGCAUUCAGCCGACGGGGAGGAGAAGAGGAGGAUCGGAGGAGGAGAGCUCUCCGCCCAGCGCUGGAAAAAGGUAAGUUUUAACCCUUUUCCCCCUUCCAGAGCCGGGCGGGAGGGGGACCCUGAGGGUGGGGGCACCCUAAGGGCACUAUAGUGCCAGGAAAACGAGUAUGUUUUCCUGGCACUAUAGUGGUCCUUUAA